CUCCUGUCCAGCCUACUGCGGUUGCACCUCCCUGUGCACUUUGUCAGCAUCGCGAUAACCCAGAAGAGAACACGUGUAGAUGGCCUCUAUGAAGCUCUUUUGCUUGUUAGCAGCUGGUCAAAGUUAGCAGAAAUGGAAGGAAGUGAACUCAACCAACAAAAGAGAACUGAGCAAUUCAUCCCGGUAGAAUGUUCCUAUAAUGAAGCAGAUUGACCUGCAAAAUGACAGGAGAACAACUGGGAGAACUCAAGCAACCACCAAAACUGUUUCUGUCUGGACUACUACCGCUGAGGAAGGAAUUGCUGCAUUUGGAGGGAGCCUUUGUGUGCUGCAGAAAUGUACCAUGAAAGACUAAGCCCUGGAUAGACACUGUCCCUUCAGUUUGAGCCCCAGAAAAAAACAUGCAUGGAGCAUAUCUGAACCUAAUCCCAGCCUGGAGCCAAUCCUAGCUGACCUGCAGUCCAAAGGAGAGCCAACAUGCUGAGCCCAGCGGAGACAAGCCAAAUUUCAGUCAA
rnacentral:lncRNA from 1 species